AGCGAACGCUGGCGGCAGGCCUAACACAUGCAAGUCGAACGAAGUCUUCGGACUUAGUGGCGGACGGGUGAGUAACACGUGGGAACGUGCCUUUAGGUUCGGAAUAACUCAGGGAAACUUGUGCUAAUACCGAAUGUGCCCUUCGGGGGAAAGAUUUAUCGCCUUUAGAGCGGCCCGCGUCUGAUUAGCUAGUUGGUGAGGUAAAGGCUCACCAAGGCGACGAUCAGUAGCUGGUCUGAGAGGAUGAUCAGCCACAUUGGGACUGAGACACGGCCCACACUCCUACGGGAGGCAGCAGUGGGGAAUCUUGCGCAAUGGGCGAAAGCCUGACGCAGCCAUGCCGCGUGAAUGAUGAAGGUCUUAGGAUUGUAAAAUUCUUUCACCGGGGACGAUAAUGACGGUACCCGGAGAAGAAGCCCCGGCUAACUUCGUGCCAGCAGCCGCAGUAA
rnacentral:rRNA from 1 species